CGCGCACAUUUCAGAAGGCUUGAAAAUACAACCUAUAAGAGCAUUUUAUUUUUCCAUUGCCUUUGCUCUUCUUGACCUGAAACAUUGCAAGGGGAUACAAUGGCAUGCCCAGUUUUACCCAAAACAAGCCUGUGUUCUGUUGAUCACUACAAGGGUUGCUGCAAGUUAAAGCUUUAGCAGUUGGGGCAUGCCUUAGCUAAGUGGAACCAUUUCUGACAUGGUCUCAUGUCAAGUAUUUUUUUUCCUCCUUUUUGUUCUUACAUAUAAAGUUUUUGUUUUUCUUUUUCCUAUGAUUGGUGCCACUAGGAUUAGAUUAUUGUACAGAUAAGGGUAGAUCAAAAUGUGUUUUUAGGUUUAGCAGACAGCUUUAAAGUUGAAGUUAGUUUUUCUUUUCUGGUUUUUGGCUUAUCCUUUGUGUAUCCGUCGCACUUAAGUUCUCUAAUAAGUUUU
rnacentral:misc_RNA from 1 species